UACGUAGGGGGCAAGCGUUGUCCGGAUUUAUUGGGCGUAAAGAGCGUGUAGGCGGCCAUGUAGGUCCGUUGUGAAAACUCGAGGCUCAACCUCGAGACGCCGAUGGAAACCAUGUGGCUAGAGUCCGGAAGAGGAGAGUGGAAUUCCUGGUGUAGCGGUGAAAUGCGCAGAUAUCAGGAAGAAUACCCGUGGCUAAGGCGGCUCUCUAGUACGGUACUGACGCUGAGACGCGAAAGCGUGGGGAGCGAACAGG
rnacentral:rRNA from 1 species